AUUUAAGUAGUUUAAAAUAAAACAUUAAUUUGUGGAAUUAGAAAUAUAUAUAAAAUUAAUAUCUUAAAUU
rnacentral:tRNA from 1 species